rnacentral:lncRNA from 1 species
GUCCACAAGCCUUCUUCCAUGUUGGCUCCCUCUACCUUCAUCUAUUCCUUCUCUUCCUCCUCACUCACAGCUCUUCCUUAUCCUACUCCUCCAAACCCACUCAUGAGCCUUCUCUCUCCAUGGUGGCUCUCUCCAUCUCCACCUCUUUGUUGGGAAUAUGAAAUAUAAAUUCAUUUUCUAUGAUAGCCGAUUGCAAUUUAAUCGAACUAACAACUAGAAUCUAUUAUCAAAUUAAUUUUAAAUUUAAUUAAAAAAAUAUAGAAAAUUAACGAAGAUAACUUAUCCAGAAGCAUGUUGCGC